GAGGUGCGGCGCGCGCCCUCCUCCCAUUGGACCCGGCGCUCCCGGCAGGCAGGCCUACAGAAUUGGGCGUGAAACAGCAAAGGAUGGCCUCUGCUUCCACCACCAUCAGAAAUGUUACAUUUUCACCAGUGCACCAUAAUGUAGCAGUCUCUUAUUGUGAGGUAUCACCUGGAGUUCUUUGUCUCAUGACCAAGAAAAUUAAGGAGCGUGGAUGCAAAUGGUGAAGUUGCAGCGAAAGUUUAAUAAGCAAAAGAAGAAAGCUCUCCACAGUGGAGAGGGGACCCGGAGGAGGGUUGCUGUUUUUACAGGGGGUGACCUUUAUCUUCAUGGCCCAGUGUGGCUGCAAGAGCUCUAGCAUCCAAGUUCCCAGCAGAAGGAUGGAGGACUGGCUGGAAAAACAAGGACACACAGGGUAUGCAUCAGGAUCUUUCUGCUGAUGCAGCUGUUAAGAGUGUUUCAUAAACUGUGACACUGAGCAAAAUCAUAGAAGGAAACUCUAUGGACAAUUUCAGAUGGAGAAGAAGAAAGGAUUGGAAGUUCAAUUUGGCCAUGACAAUUAGACUUGAAGAAGCUGAGUGAGAAGGCCAUGCGGAUAUCUUGGAGAAGUGCAUUCCAGGAAGAGGAAAAGCCAGUGCAGAGACACUGAAGCAGGGCAUGACUGAUGUGUGUAAGGAGCUCAUAUAUAUGAUCAUCUACAGUCCACUGAGGAGAAUAGCAGACGAG
rnacentral:antisense_RNA from 1 species